AUUGAACGCUGGCGGCAGGCCUAACACAUGCAAGUCGAGCGGCGCGGCGCACGGAUGAGUAAUGCCUAGGAAUCUGCCUGGUUGUGGUGGAUAACGUCCGGAAACGGGCGCUCAUACCGCACACUAUCAGAUGAGCCUAGUUCGGAUUAGCUAGUUGGUGGGGUAAAGGCCUACAAAGGCGACGAUCAGUAACUGGUCUGAGAGGUUGUUCAGUCAAACUGGAACUGAGACACGGACCAGAGUCCUAGGGGAGGAAGAAGUGGGGAAUAUUGGACAAUGGGGGAAAGCCUGAUGCAGCCAUGCCGCGUGUGUGAAGAAGGUCUUCGGUUUGUAAAGCACUUUAAGUUGGGAGGCGUUACCAACAGAAUAAGCACCGGCUAACUUCGUGCCAGCAGCCGCGGUAAUUC
rnacentral:rRNA from 1 species